GAUACAUGCUAUGUUUUACAGAGAAAACGAAAACAAAAAAAUUAUCGAGUGCUUUUGAUACGUUAGAGUGUUUCUGCAAUUAAAAUUUCCUAUGCUACGUUUCGUGUAGUUCGCUGAGUAUGCCCGAUCACAGUGUUGCCCUUCAAAAGGCAGCUUGCAUAAAAAAAGAAGCAAAGUGCCCGAUGACGAGCCGCAACGUAAUCGCACGUUUGAUAUCUUCGCUGCCGACACUAUUUUGCGCUAUAAAUUGCCUUGCCUUACACUUUUCACUGUUACAUUAUGUGGAGCGCACUUCGAUUAACAUUAUUGUCAACGUGAUACGCGGAGAUACAUGUUUGAAGCAAUGAGUUGCGAGCGAUGGAAGGCGCACUUUCAGACUGAUGAUUUCCAAGUUCGACCGGGGAACUUUAUAACGCAAACGAUUCCACCCACAGGAUGCUGCGGCCUAGAGAUUAGCCGGCAAGCUUGUGAAAAGAGGAAACAGGAAAGGGGCGGUUAGACCAAGAUACAUAUAUUAUCAGAUUCAACAAAUUGAAGAAUUCUGGGAAACAUCAAGAUGGAAUAUUUCACCGAUCGAUUUUUAACGGCCGCAGCAUGGAUUCGUCAUUCAAUCUUUGACCUACACUAGCGUCUUUUUUGUACUCUUCUCAACCGUCGGUCCCCAUUGAACGAACGAAAGUUCUCCCCAGGAGAACACAGCGUUUUAUACAAAUUGCACGCAUCUGUCCCGCGUAUGUUUGAAAGCACAAAU